AUGUACUGAUUGCCUCCCCUCAAAAACAAAAGUAUCUGUUCUAAUUUGUCCCCAUGGCAUGGACUCAGAAGAUAGUACUGUGGUGAAAUUCAACUGUCAAAGUAAUUAGAUUCUCAGGAUGCUUUUUUAGUUCUUCAUAAGUGCAGUAUAAAGUUCUAACUUCUUGCUCUCUUUCAAUGCCCCACAUAUUCUGGACCCAUUCUACCAAUUCAGCAAGUACCCACCAUUCCAAAUGGACACAACUCCUCACUCCCCAUGGUUUUCCAAGACCUUCCAAACACAUUGGAUGAAAUUGAUGCUUUAUUAACUGAAGAAAGAUCAAGAGCUUCCUGCUUCACGGGACUGAAUCCUACAAUUGUUCAGGAAUAUACAAAAAGAGAAGAAGAAAUAGAACAGUUAACUGAGGAACUAAAGGGAAAGAAAGUUGAACUAGAUCAAUACAGAGAAAACAUUUCACAGGUAAAAGAAAGGUGGCUUAAUCCUUUAAAAGAGCUGGUAGAAAAAAUUAAUGAAAAAUUCAGCAAUUUUUUUAGUUCCAUGCAGUGUGCUGGUGAAGUUGAUCUCCAUACAGAAAAUGAGGAAGAUUAUGAUAAAUAUGGAAUUCGAAUUAGAGUCAAAUUUCGCAGUAGUACUCAACUGCAUGAAUUAACUCCUUAUCAUCAAAGUGGAGGUGAAAGAAGUGUUUCUACCAUGUUAUACUUGAUGGCACUUCAGGAGCUAAAUAGAUGUCCAUUUAGAGUAGUUGAUGAAAUCAAUCAGGGAAUGGACCCAGUCAAUGAACGGAGAGUGUUUGAAAUGGUUGUAAAUACUGCCUGUAAAGAAAAUACAUCUCAAUACUUUUUCAUAACACCAAAGCUCCUGCAAAAUCUUCCUUAUUCUGAAAAGAUGACAGUUUUGUUUGUCUACAAUG
rnacentral:sRNA from 1 species